CAUGGAGGGGGAGAGACGCGUUAGUUUCAUCGACAAUAUGGCUGAGGUGGGACUGAGUAGUCUCUCUAUCGCUGCCAAGAGGUUCAGGAAGAAAGGGGGGAAAGAUGACGAAGGGGGUUAUCGACAGGUGGCGCUAUUGGGCAUCGCAGCAAGAAUCAAAAUGGGCCGCAAAGGUGAAAAGAGUUUGAGCAAAGACAAAAAUCAGUCCUCAGCGAGCCAAGAUGCCCAAGAUGAGGAUUCCAACAAGACCCCAGAGCCGUACAACUGCUCCGGCUUUUUCCAGCCCGACUUUACUGAGUUGUGCCACAGACAAGACAUGACCUACAUUCCACAGAUCGUUCCCCGCCCGCGGCCACCGGCCCCGUCUCCCAGUCAGGCCGCGGAAGGUAAACCGGAGAAGGGUAAAGAUAAAAACAAACAACUCAGUGCCCCGGAACCAGACCCGGAACCUUUGUUAGACGAGGAUGGUGAGCCAGUCGAGCCUCCUCCCAAGACAUACACCAUGAAGGACAAGUUUGAGUACUUCAAGCCAUCCAUACAGGUGGAGAUGGACAACCCUGACAAGUUGGACACUGUCACCGAAGUGUACAUCCGUGGGUGGAAGGUGGAUGACUGUAUGAUGGAGAUAUUCAAGCAGUGCUGGCCGGCCAUGGAGAGGCUACAUACAAUCAACUUGUGGCAGGUUGGACUGACGGGGGAGACAGUGGCCAUCUUGGCAUCCUUCAUACCACUCUGUAUGAAUCUCAAGAACCUGAUCCUGGAUGGCAAUAGCAUACAGGAGGGGGAGGAGAACUGGCAUCUGUUGGUGGAUGAUGACAGCAGUGUUCAGCUUCUCUCACUCCAACAUUGCUCUGUCUCGGACGAGGCAGCGGUGGGGAUCGGCAAGGCACUGGGGACAGCCAAACGGUUCAACACAAAGCUUAUGUCUCUCAACCUGGCCGGCAACCGAAUCACAGAUGUUGGUGCGGAGCAUCUCGCAGGGGGGCUGAGGAUGAACCGAUCGCUGCUGUCUCUCUCCCUCGCCAACAAUCACAUCGGAGAUAAGGGGGUGAAGAAAAUAGCAGAGGCUCUGUCUCGGUUUCCAUUGACCCAUGAAGAGGUAGUAGAACGUCGUCGACUCAUCUCAGAGAAAGGUUCUCCAGAGAGAAAUAAAUCUCCCCCACCGAGUCGCCGAGCUGAGUCCAAGGACCGUCCUGGCAGUGUUCGAAGCAGCUCCCACACAGACAAGGACAAGUCUAAGCGAGACAAACCAUCGGCUAAAAAGAAUAAGGAUCCGAAGGCAAAAGAGGAAGACAAGAAGGGAGGGACGAGAAAAGAAAAAGACGACAAAGGCAGCUCCAAGAAGGGUUUUUUCAAAUCGUUUAUCGGACAGUUGAUGUUUCAAAACCAUCGUCCAGCCUCUAUAGCUGCUGAUGCAGGGAAGAGUGUGGGGAAGACGAAGGACAAGAAGGUCAAGAAACCAACACCACAGGAACAGGAGCAACCCGAUGUCCCCGAGGUGAUCAACCCUCUGAUGGAGGUGGCUGACUACAUGUCUGAGCUGAAGACCCUCAUGGUGGCCGGGAACCGGGUCCUGCUGAAUCUCAACCUCUCCAGGAACCAGAUCACAGAGGAUGGUGUGGAGGAGCUGAUCAAGGCAGCCCAGUACCAGAAGACCCUGCUGAUGGACAACAAGAUCAACGGCACCGGUCUCAUGAGGAUCUGCCUACAUAAGAACAAGGUGUCUGCCGACAGUGAUGAGCUGAAGAAACUGAAUGACAUGAUGGCAGCAAAACAUCCCUUCUACAAACCACCAGCCACACCGGAUGGAGAAGCAGUCUGAGCGAUGUCCCACAUCAUCAGGUGACAUAGGCAACCAAUAAUCCAGCAGUUGUCCACUGUUUUUAAGAGGAUUUCAAAAGUUAAAGCAAAAUGGAUCAACAUUUUUAAGGAACACAAAUUUUCGACUGAGGACUUCAAAAUGUGCAAAUUGCUGUCUUUACAAACUGCAGAACAAUUGAAUUUGACAACAGAGAAACAUGCCAUUUUGAUGGUGUUGGAUUUACAUUUGUUUAAAUGGUGAAACAGUGAACAGGUGUUCACAACACAAGCUGUGAUGGAAUGAUUGUGAUAUUUUGAAUGUAUAUAUUCUCAAAAUGAUAAUAAAUUGUUUGACUGCA